CCCUUAGAUGUCCUGGGCCGCACGCGUGCUACACUGACGCCUACAGCGAGUACUUCCCAGCCCCGAGAGGCGGCUGGUAAUCAGCAAUAGGCGUCGUGAUGGGGAUAGAUCUUUGGAAUUAUGGAUCUUGAACGAGGAAUGCCUAGUAAGCGCAGGUCAUUAGCCUGCGCUGAUUACGUCCCUGCCCUUUGUACACACCGCCCGUCGCUCCUACCGAUUUCGAGUGGUUCGGUGAACCUUUCGGACCGGCAAUGCCUCGUGUUGCGCCGGAAAGUCAAGUAAACCAUAUCACUUAGAGGAAGGAGAAGUCGUAACA
rnacentral:rRNA from 1 species